GCUCUCAGCAGCCAAGAGGGAUUCCUCCCGGUUGGUGAGAGUGUACUCUUUCACCGGCCAACAGGAAUCCCUCUUGGUCAAUGAGAGUGUAUACUCUCACCGGCCGAGAGGAAUAUCUCUCGGUUGAUGAGACU
rnacentral:miRNA from 1 species